GCCGCCCAGGUGCCGAAGAAGCAAAGCAGCCUCAGACCACGACACUACUGCCACCAUGUUUGACUAUUGCUUUGAUAUUUUUUUUCCUGAAUGCUCUGUUAGUUUAAUACUAGAUAAAAGGGGAUGCACACCUUCCGUCCUGUCUUUCAUGCCCUCUUGGAGCCUUGACUCCACUCCAUGGUGGCCGGCCUACAUAACUGAAGGUUCCAUGUUUUCUCCAUUUGUGGAUAAAUGGCUUUUUAACCAUUUCCAGAUUGACUGGUGUCAAUGUCUACUUCUUCUUCUCCAGUGCUGAAACGGAGAGAAGUUGCCGAGACUGUGACCAUUGUGGAGACUCCACCCAUUGUUGGGGUCAGAGUUGUGGGCUGGAUCAGCAUUCCCCCGUGGCCUCAGUUGCUUCAAGACCAUCUUCGCUGAGCACAUCAGUGACAAGUGCAGGCGUCGCUUCUACAAGAACUGGAACAAAUCCAAGAAGGCCUUCACCAAAUAAUGCAUAAAUGGUAGGAUGAGGACGGCAAGCAGCUGGAGGAAGACUUUGCUGCCAUGAAGAAAUACUGCCAGGUCUCCUGAGUGUCUCUUAGGCUUCAAAUCAGCCACCGUGCCCUGGAGAACAUCAUCAAAUUCAUCAACACAUUGUCCAAGAUCCUAAGACUGAUUUAACUAACAGUUAAACAUGUUUGCAAAGGUCUGACUGACUGCAGUGUUAGUUUAAGGUUCACAUCUCAGAAAAAGCUUGUGUUUAGAAAACUUUGUGAAGUUUAGACAAAAAAAUUUAAUUAACCGAAUGGGACACCCCAAAGUAUUCAGGGAUUUAAUUUCUUUUAAAAGAGGUUUUAAUACUGGGUGGAAAAUUGGUUUCUGGUAUUAAAAUUGUGCAUCCAUAACUGAUCUGUUUUCUUAGUUGUUCAGUGGAUGUCAUGAACACUAGAUUUUAUUCCAGUACCAGUAGGACUUUUUCUGAGGUAGCGGAGCAGUGCCUCUUUGUGCUGGUCUUCUUUCUGUUCACCCUUUGGGAAAGUGUAAAGGAAACAUUUACGCUAAAAGCUAAAGGGGCAGUUUGGAUCAGUACCCUGUACCUCAGGGCCCACUGUCCUACAUGCUUUAUGUGCUUCCCUGCAGCUGCACACCUUAAAUGACCCCAAAGCACUUAAAUAAAUGGCUGGUAAACAGGUUUUUGCAGCACUUAAUGGUUCAACGUGGUAAGGCCACCAUUUAAAUCAGUUGUGCUGCAGGGACACAUCAUGAAACCUGUAGGACAGUGGCCCCUGUAGAACCGGCUUGGGGACUACUGCUAUAAAGGCCUUCCUCAGCAAACUGCUCUGUUUGACUGGCGUGCACUCUGUGUAAUUAUUGUCCUUCUGAUGCGAAAAGAUUGGAUUUUUUUUGGCUCACAAAUUUUUCCAAAAUUCAAUAACUGUCACUUUCGCUGUUGUGAAGAAUUAAUAAAAACAACAAACAUG